UGCUUUUUUCAUCCCAAAUUUG
rnacentral:siRNA from 1 species